rnacentral:rRNA from 1 species
AUUGAACGCUGGCGGCAGGCCUAACACAUGCAAGUCGAACGAGUGGCGGACGGGUGAGUAAUGGCUGGGAAACUGACUGAUGGAGGGGGAUAACUACUGGAAACGGUAGCUAAUACCGCAUACCAUCAGAUGCGCCCAGAUGGGGUUAGCUUGUUGGUGGGGUAACGGCUCAACAAGGCGACGAUCCCUAUCUGGUCUGAGAGGAUGACCAGCCAACCUGGAACUGGGACACGGUCUAGACUCCUAAGGGAGGCAGCAGUGGGGAAUAUUGCACACUGGGCGAAAGCCUGAUGCGGCCAUACCGCGUGUAUGAAGAGGGCCUUCGGGUUGUAAAGUACUUUCAGCGGGGAGGCGUUACCCGCAUAAGAAGCACCGGCUGACUACGUGCCAGAAGCCGCGGUAAUAC